GACGAACGCUGGCGGCGCGCCUAACACAUGCAAGUCGAACGAGCGAGAGAGAGCUUGCUUUCUCAAGCGAGUGGCGAACGGGUGAGUAACGCGUGAGGAACCUGCCUCAAAGAGGGGGACAACAGUUGGAACGACUGCUAAUACCGCAUAAGCCCACAGCUCGGCAUCGAGCAGAGGGAAAAGGAGUGAUCCGCUUUGAGAUGGCCUCGCGUCCGAUUAGCUGGUUGGUGAGGUAACGGCCCACCAAGGCGACGAUCAGUAGCCGACCUGAGAGGGUGACCGGCCACAUUGGGACUGAGACACGGCCCAG
rnacentral:rRNA from 1 species